rnacentral:rRNA from 1 species
UCUCUCUGAAUCUGCGAACGGCUCCGCAAACCAGUUGUAAACUAUAGCAAGCAUGCCCAGGUUCUCCCUUCACGGGGAGGGCCUGGGAGAUAAGGAUAACCCUGGUAAUUCUGAGGCUAAUACAAGAAAGUACUCCCCGACUAACCGGGUUCACUGGAAGGUCGGGGGACGUGCGAGUGUUUUCGCGAGGUUUACCGGGAAAGGACGCACGUCUUGACCGCGCCAAAAGGAUUCCGCCUUGCCUCCGGGCUUGGUGGUCUCUAGCGGCUCUUGCUGUGUGCUUCUGACCUAUCAACUAGAUGGCAGCGUAAGGGACAUGCUAUGGUUACAACGGGUACAGAGGAUUAGGGUUCGAUCCUGGAGAGUGGGCCUGAGAGAUU